CACGGUCGGCCAAUUUCCUGCUGAGAUCUCGACCUCCAACAAUGAGCAAACUUAUCUUCGCUGCUAUUCUCGUCGCCCUCGUGGCUUGUGUUUCUGCCACGUUCUACGCCGGCAUCGGGUACGGUCCCCGCUACAGUUACGGAGUAGGAUUGGGCUAUGGUGUUGGAAGCUACGGAUACGGACUGUCACGUCCCGUCUACUCCAGCUACGGAUAUCCUCGGGCGUACUACGGGAGCUACGGGUACGGUUAUCCAGCCUACACAGCAAUCCCUUACGCUUUCUGAUCGACUCCAACACCCGACUUCUGGAUGCUUUCCCUGAUCGUUAUGAUUUGUCUCAAUCGGCAUGACGGCUCUUUUUCGACCCGAAGAUUCGCGCAGUGAAGAAUUGGAGGAAUAAAACUUGGUUAGGACGACCCUUCGACAG